UUAGAUCACAUGACAUGACAUGUUGGUAAAUGGUAAUUUAUGUGUGUUUAUUUUAAAAAUGAGUUUGCCAAUAUUAAACAAGUAAUCUGAAUUCAAGUUUCAACACAGAAUUUAACACGCAAUGUAACUUGUUUUGUUGUUUUGUUCUAAGGCCUUAAUCAAAGAAUAUUUGAAUUGUGCAGUGGAUCUGAAAGGUUUGGGUCAAAUUCAUUCUUUCAAGUCCUUUUUUUCUUGUUUAAUUCAAUUUAGCGAUUGGUUGGGUUAACCUGAAAGCCCAACUAGUUUGAGUUCCUGUGUGAGUACUAUCAUAAUUAAGUUAAGCUAGAUUAGCGUAGUUUUGAAUUCUUUUAUAUGUUGUGUGUGACAAAGGGGACUAUGGAGACGAAGUAACUGGAGACACUAAAAGAUUUCCACAGGGA
rnacentral:lncRNA from 1 species